UACGUAGGGGGCAAGCGUUGUCCGGAAUCAUUGGGCGUAAAGCGCACGUAGGCGGCUUCUCAAGUCAGGGGUGAAAUCCUGGAGCUCAACUCCAGAACUGCCUUUGAUACUGAGGGGCUCGAGUCCGGGAGAGGUGAGUGGAACUGCGAGUGUAGAGGUGAAAUUCGUAGAUAUUCGCAAGAACACCAGUGGCGAAGGCGGCUCACUGGCCCGGUACUGACGCUGAGGUGCGAAAGCGUGGGGAGCAAACAGG
rnacentral:rRNA from 1 species